rnacentral:lncRNA from 1 species
AAGGAUAGUGGGUAGGGCUUAUCUUUCCCCCAGACUACUUUACUCACUGGAAAUCAUUCCACGUACAGGAACUGGGAAAAAAAAAGGGCUCGAACUACAGGGAUCUGAUACCUUCUUCCCUUGGUAUGAGAAGUUGUUUAUGUAGGCUGACAACCUUUCCUAGGUUGUUUCGAUCAGGCCAAAUAAUCGAUUAGUAGUAUGCCUGAGAUUGCCAGAAGAACUUCCCCCUCUUGAAAACUGACUAAUCAAACAAAGGGGGUAACUUUUUUUUAUGAGGGUAGGGAGUUUGGGUUGGUGUUCAGUGUACCGCACUUUGGGUACAAGAUCGGAAAUUCCAUUCUCUUUUUUACCAUCUAAAAUCGAAGAAAAGAAAGAAGGGCGAGAUAAACAAAUAAAGAGCUAACUUUCUUUAAACUUUCUUUAUUAUUAUGUAAGAUUAUAAGGUUCAAAAUUAAUCGGCGCAGGAGCUGCUACAAUUGCUUCAGCGGGAGCUGCUGCCGGUAUUGG